UAACCUGCCUCAUACAGGGGAUAACAGUUAGAAAUGACUGCUAAUACCGCAUAAGCGCACAGAGAUGCAUGUCUCGGUGUGAAAAGCUGAGGCGGUAUGAGAUGGAUCCGCGUCUGAUUAGCUGGUUGGCGGGGUAGAGGCCCACCAAGGCGACGAUCAGUAGCCGACCUGAGAGGGUGGCCGGCCACAUUGGGACUGAGACACGGCCCAAACUCCUACGGAAGGCAGCAG
rnacentral:rRNA from 1 species